rnacentral:rRNA from 3 species
GAGAGAAGCUUGCUUCUCUUGAGAGCGGCGGACGGGUGAGUAAUGCCUAGGAAUCUGCCUGGUAGUGGGGGAUAACGUUCGGAAACGGACGCUAAUACCGCAUACGUCCUACGGGAGAAAGCAGGGGACCUUCGGGCCUUGCGCUAUCAGAUGAGCCUAGGUCGGAUUAGCUAGUUGGUGAGGUAAUGGCUCACCAAGGCGACGAUCCGUAACUGGUCUGAGAGGAUGAUCAGUCACACUGGAACUGAGACACGGUCCAGACUCCUACGGGAGGCAGCAGUGGGGAAUAUUGGACAAUGGGCGAAAGCCUGAUCCAGCCAUGCCGCGUGUGUGAAGAAGGUCUUCGGAUUGUAAAGCACUUUAAGUUGGGAGGAAGGGUUGUAGAUUAAUACUCUGCAAUUUUGACGUUACCGACAGAAUAAGCACCGGCUAACUCUGUGCCAGCAGCCGCGGUAAUACAGAGGGUGCAAGCGUUAAUCGGAAUUACUGGGCGUAAAGCGCGCGUAGGUGGUUCGUUAAGUUGGAUGUGAAAG